GAUGAACGCUGGCGGCGUGCCUAAUACAUGCAAGUCGAGCGAACAGACGAGGAGCUUGCUCCUCUGACGUUAGCGGCGGACGGGUGAGUAACACGUGGAUAACCUACCUAUAAGACUGGGAUAACUUCGGGAAACCGGAGCUAAUACCGGAUAAUAUAUUGAACAGCAUGGUUCAAUAGUGAAAGACGGUUUUGCUGUCACUUAUAGAUGGAUCCGCGCCGCAUUAGCUAGUUGGUAAGGUAAAGGCUUACCAAGGCAACGAUGCGUAGCCGACCUGAGAGGGUGAUCGGCCACACUGGAACUGAGACACGGUCCAGACUCCUACGGGAGGCAGCAGUAGGGAAUCUUCCGCAAUGGGCGAAAGCCUGACGGAGCAACGCCGCGUGAGUGAUGAAGGUCUUCGGAUCGUAAAACUCUGUUAUUAGGGAAGAACAAAUGUGUAAGUAACUAUGCACGUCUUGACGGUACCUAAUCAGAAAGCCACGGCUAACUACGUG
rnacentral:rRNA from 1 species